UGGAAGACUAGUGAUUUUGUUGUUGUGUCUGUGUCCAACAACAAGUCCCAGUCUGCCACA
rnacentral:pre_miRNA from 1 species